rnacentral:rRNA from 1 species
AACGAACGCUGGCGGCAUGCCUAACACAUGCAAGUCGAACGAGACCUUCGGGUCUAGUGGCGCACGGGUGCGUAACGCGUGGGAACCUGCCCUUAGGUUCGGAAUAACUCCCCGAAAGGGGUGCUAAUACCGGAUAAUGUCUUCGGACCAAAGAUUUAUCGCCUUUGGAUGGGCCCGCGUUGGAUUAGCUAGUUGGUAGGGUAAAAGCCUACCAAGGCGACGAUCCAUAGCUGGUCUGAGAGGAUGAUCAGCCACACUGGGACUGAGACACGGCCCAGACUCCUACGGGAGGCAGCAGUGGGGAAUAUUGGACAAUGGGCGAAAGCAUGAUCCAGCAAUGCCGCGUGAGUGAUGAAGGCCUUAGGGUUGUAAAGCUCUUUUACCCGGGAUGAUAAUGACGGUACCGGAAGAAUAAGCUCCGGCUAACUCCGUG